rnacentral:rRNA from 1 species
UACGUAGGGGGCAAGCGUUGUCCGGAUUCAUUGGGCGUAAAGCGCGCGUAGGCGGCCCGGUAAGUCCGCUGUGAAAGUCCAGGGCUCAACCCUGGAAAGCGGGUGGAUACUGCCGGGCUAGAAUCCGGAAGAGGCGAGUGGAAUUCCUGGUGUAGCGGUGGAAUGCGCAGAUAUCAGGAGGAACACCAAUAGCGAAGGCAGCUCGCUGGGACGGUAUUGACGCUAAGGCGCGAAAGCGUGGGGAGCAAACAGG